ACUCUAAUAGUUUAUGAAAAACAUUGGUCUUGUAAACCAAAAACUGAAGGCCCCCCACCCUUCUUAGAGUAG
rnacentral:tRNA from 1 species